GGCCUUUCAUUUCCGCCAAACGCCCCCUAUAUUCGUUUUGUCGGCUUGACCGACUAUGGCGAUAAAUGGGCGAUGAAAUAAGCCGUUCGGACCCGGGGGCGGUACCCGGCGCCUCCACCAAAAGCCGCUGUUGACGACAGAGCGGUUUUUGCUGGGGGCGAAAUAGGAUCGACGAAGGUGUAAAGAUCGUACUUUUGCCCGGCAUUGUACCACCGUCAUCGGGCUAAACUU
rnacentral:tmRNA from 1 species